GAUGAAGAACGCAGUGAAAUGCGAUAAGUAAUGUGAAUUGCAGAAUUCAGUGAAUCAUCGAAUCUUUGAACGCACAUUGCGCCCUUUGGUAUUCCGAGGGGCAUGCCUGUUCGAGCGUCAUUAUAACCCCUCAAGCUCAGCUUGGUGUUGGGGCCUGCUGCACUGGCAGCCCUUAAAAUCAGUGGCGGCGCCAUCUGGCUCUAAGCGUAGUAAUUCUUCUCGCUAUGGAGUCCUGGUGGAUGCUUGCCAUCAACCCCCAAUUUUUCUAUGGUUGACCUCGGAUCAGGUAGGGAUACCCGCUGAACUUAAGCAUAUCAAUAAGCGGAGGA
rnacentral:misc_RNA from 1 species